UUGGAGGGCAAGUCUGGUGCCAGCAGCCGCGGUAAUUCCAGCUCCAAUAGCGUAUAUUAAGGUUGUUGCAGUUAAAAAGCUCGUAGUUGAAUUUCGAGAUCAAUUUGUCGGUCGUGCCUCGGUACGUACUGGCAUUAUUGAUUUCUCCCUUCUGAAGAACCGCGAUGUCAUUAAUUUGGUGUCGUGGGGAAUCAGGACUGUUACUUUGAAAAAAUUAGAGUGUUUAAAGCAGGCGCACGCUUGAAUACAUUAGCAUGGAAUAAUGAAAUAGGACGUUUGAUUCUAUUUUGUUGGUUUCUAGGAUCGACGUAAUGAUUAAUAGGGAUAGUUGGGGGCAUUAGUAUUCAAUUGUCAGAGGUGAAAUUCUUGGAUUUAUUGAAGACUAACUACUGCGAAAGCAUUUGCCAAGGAUGUUUUCAUUAAUCAAGAACGAAAGUUAGGGGAUUGAAGACGAUCAGAUACCGUCGUAGUCUUAACCAUAAACUAUGCCGACUAGGGAUCGGAUGAUGUUAAUUUUUUAAUGACUCAUUCGGCGCCUUACGGGAAAC
rnacentral:rRNA from 1 species